GGUUCUUUAGCUCAGUUGGUUAGAGCGCUCGCUUCACACGCGAGAGGUCAGCAGUUCGAGUCUGCUAAGAACCACCA
rnacentral:tRNA from 7 species